rnacentral:ncRNA from 1 species
AGGUUGUAUGAAAGGAGAGAAGGUUAGCACUCCCUUUGACACAGAUGGAGGAGACCCUUGGGCCUGACAACACGCAUACAGUUAGGCACUGCCAUCUACAUUGUGGCAUCUAAACAUCUUUUCUU